rnacentral:misc_RNA from 1 species
CCAAUUUCACUAUUCCUUUUCUCUCCCACUCUUCCAUAAAGGAGGAGUGUGAGGAAAAGAAAUAUAAACACACUUUGUGAACUUGUAAUCGUUUUUGGUGGUUCCUUGCACCGAAGGGUGUACCUUGGGUUGUAAGCCCACCAAAAGGACCCUCUUGAUUGAUUGUGGUUCUCCACAGUCUUCAGAGGGUUCGAUUUUAUAAAACCCAAUUCUUCUAGUUUUUUUAAAAGUCUUUUUUAUUUUUGCUUUUCUUCUUUUCUCUCGGAGAAAAAAAGGGGGAAAUUCAAAAAAAAAGCCAAUUGAGAAA